UAUGGGUUUCUGGGUCUAAGAGUCUAUGGUUCUAUGAGUCUACAGGUCUAUGAGUCUACAGGUCUAUGAGUCGAUGGGUCUAUGAGUCUAUGGGUCUAUGGAUCUUUGGGUCUUUGGAUCUAUGGGUCUUUGGAUCUAUGGGUUUCUGGGUCUAAGGGCCUAUGGUUCUAUGAGUCUACAGGUCUAUGAGUCUACAGGUCUAUGAGUCUAUGGGUCUUUGGAUCUAUGGGUUUCUGGGUCUAAGGG